rnacentral:rRNA from 1 species
GGUUAAGCGACUAAGCGUACACGGUGGAUGCCCUGGCAGUCAGAGGCGAUGAAGGGCGUGCUAAUCUGCGAUAAGCGCCGGUAAGGUGAUAUGAACCGUUAUAACCGGCGAUACCCGAAUGGGGAAACCCAGUGUGAUUCGUCACACUAUCAUUAACUGAAUCCAUAGGUUAAUGAGGCGAACCGGGGGAACUGAAACAUCUAAGUACCCCGAGGAAAAGAAAUCAACCGAGAUUCCCCCAGUAGCGGCGAGCGAACGGGGAGGAGCCCAGAGCCUGAAUCAGCAUGUGUGUUAGUGGAAGCGUCUGGAAAGGCGCGCGAUACAGGGUGACAGCCCCGUACACAAAAGCGCAUGUGCUGUGAGCUCGAUGAGUAGGGCGGGACACGUGGUAUCCUGUCUGAAUAUGGGGGGACCAUCCUCCAAGGCUAAAUACUCCUGACUGACCGAUAGUGAACCAGUACCGUGAGGGAAAGGCGAAAAGAACCCCGGCGAGGGGAGUGAAAAAGAACCUGAAACCGUGUACGUACAAGCAGUGGGAGCACCCUUUGGGUGUGACUGCGUACCUUUUGUAUAAUGGGUCAGCGACUUAUAUUCUGUAGCAAGGUUAACCGAAUAGGGGAGCCGGAGGGAAACCGAGUCUUAACCGGGCGUUAAGUUGCAGGGUAUAGACCCGAAACCCGGUGAUCUAGCCAUGGGCAGGUUGAAGGUUGGGUAACACUAACUGGAGGACCGAACCGACUAAUGUUGAAAAAUUAGCGGAUGACCUGUGGCUGGGGGUGAAAGGCCAAUCAAACCGGGAGAUAGCUGGUUCUCCCCGAAAGCUAUUUAGGUAGCGCCUCGUGAAUUCAUCUCCGGGGGUAGAGCACUGUUUCGGCUAGGGGGCCAUCCCGGCUUACCAACCCGAUGCAAACUGCGAAUACCGGAGAAUGUUAUCACGGGAGACACACGGCGGGUGCUAACGUCCGUCGUGAAGAGGGAAACAACCCAGACCGCCAGCUAAGGUCCCAAAGUCAUGGUUAAGUGGGAAACGAUGUGGGAAGGCCCAGACAGCCAGGAUGUUGGCUUAGAAGCAGCCAUCAUUUAAAGAAAGCGUAAUAGCUCACUGGUCGAGUCGGCCUGCGCGGAAGAUGUAACGGGGCUAAACCAUGCACCGAAGCUGCGGCAGCGACACUGUGUGUUGUUGGGUAGGGGAGCGUUCUGUAAGCCUGCGAAGGUGGCCUGUGAGGGUUGCUGGAGGUAUCAGAAGUGCGAAUGCUGACAUAAGUAACGAUAAAGCGGGUGAAAAGCCCGCUCGCCGGAAGACCAAGGGUUCCUGUCCAACGUUAAUCGGGGCAGGGUGAGUCGACCCCUAAGGCGAGGCCGAAAGGCGUAGUCGAUGGGAAACGGGUUAAUAUUCCCGUACUUGGUGUUACUGCGAAGGGGGGACGGAGAAGGCUAUGUUGGCCGGGCGACGGUUGUCCCGGUUUAAGCGUGUAGGUGUGUGUUCCAGGUAAAUCCGGUUCACUUUAACACUGAGGCGUGACGACGAGGCACUACGGUGCUGAAGCAACAAAUGCCCUGCUUCCAGGAAAAGCCUCUAAGCAUCAGGUAACAUCAAAUCGUACCCCAAACCGACACAGGUGGUCAGGUAGAGAAUACCAAGGCGCUUGAGAGAACUCGGGUGAAGGAACUAGGCAAAAUGGUGCCGUAACUUCGGGAGAAGGCACGCUGACACGUAGGUGAAGUGAUUUACUCAUGGAGCUGAAGUCAGUCGAAGAUACCAGCUGGCUGCAACUGUUUAUUAAAAACACAGCACUGUGCAAACACGAAAGUGGACGUAUACGGUGUGACGCCUGCCCGGUGCCGGAAGGUUAAUUGAUGGGGUCAGCGCAAGCGAAGCUCCUGAUCGAAGCCCCGGUAAACGGCGGCCGUAACUAUAACGGUCCUAAGGUAGCGAAAUUCCUUGUCGGGUAAGUUCCGACCUGCACGAAUGGCGUAAUGAUGGCCAGGCUGUCUCCACCCGAGACUCAGUGAAAUUGAACUCGCUGUGAAGAUGCAGUGUACCCGCGGCAAGACGGAAAGACCCCGUGAACCUUUACUAUAGCUUGACACUGAACAUUGAGCCUUGAUGUGUAGGAUAGGUGGGAGGCUUUGAAGUGUGGACGCCAGUCUGCAUGGAGCCGACCUUGAAAUACCACCCUUUAAUGUUUGAUGUUCUAACGUGGACCCGUUACCCGGGUUGCGGACAGUGUCUGGUGGGUAGUUUGACUGGGGCGGUCUCCUCCUAAAGAGUAACGGAGGAGCACGAAGGUUGGCUAAUCCUGGUCGGACAUCAGGAGGUUAGUGCAAUGGCAUAAGCCAGCUUGACUGCGAGCGUGACGGCGCGAGCAGGUGCGAAAGCAGGUCAUAGUGAUCCGGUGGUUCUGAAUGGAAGGGCCAUCGCUCAACGGAUAAAAGGUACUCCGGGGAUAACAGGCUGAUACCGCCCAAGAGUUCAUAUCGACGGCGGUGUUUGGCACCUCGAUGUCGGCUCAUCACAUCCUGGGGCUGAAGUAGGUCCCAAGGGUAUGGCUGUUCGCCAUUUAAAGUGGUACGCGAGCUGGGUUUAGAACGUCGUGAGACAGUUCGGUCCCUAUCUGCCGUGGGCGCUGGAGAACUGAGGGGGGCUGCUCCUAGUACGAGAGGACCGGAGUGGACGCAUCACUGGUGUUCGGGUUGUCAUGCCAAUGGCACUGCCCGGUAGCUAAAUGCGGAAGAGAUAAGUGCUGAAAGCAUCUAAGCACGAAACUUGCCCCGAGAUGAGUUCUCCCUGAGACUUAGAGUCUCCUGAAGGAACGUUGAAGACGACGACGUUGAUAGGCCGGGUGUGUAAGCGCAGCGAUGCGUUGAGCUAACCGGUACUAAUGAACCGUGAGGCUUAACCUU